CCUACGGGAGGCAGCAGUAGGGAAUCUUCCGCAAUGGACGAAAGUCUGACGGAGCAACGCCGCGUGAGUGAAGAAGGCCUUCGGGUUGUAAAGCUCUUUCGGACGGAACGAAAUGGUUACGGUCAAUACCCGUGACUGAUGACGGUACCGUAAGAAGAAGCACCGGCUAACUACGUGCCAGCAGCCGCGGUAAUACGUAGGGUGCGAGCGUUAAUCGGAAUUACUGGGCGUAAAGCGUGCGCAGGCGGUUUCGUAAGCUGGAGGUGAAAUCCUACAGCUUAACUGUAGAACUGCCUCCGAUACUGUAUAUCUUGAAUAUAGGAGAGGGUAAUGGAAUUCCACGUGUAGCGGUGAAAUGCGUAGAGAUGUGGAGGAACACCAGUGGCGAAGGCGGCUCUCUGGUCUGUAACUGACGCUGAGGCGCGAAAGCGUGGGGAGCGAACAGAAUUAGAUACCCUGGUAGUCCACGCCGUAAACGAUGAGUGCUAAGUGUUAGAGGGUUUCCGCCCUUUAGUGCUGCAGCAAACGCAUUAAGCACUCCGCCUGGGGAGUACGGCCGCAAGGCUGAAACUCAAAGGAAUUGACGG
rnacentral:rRNA from 1 species